GACGAACGCUGGCGGCGUGCUGAACACAUGCAAGUCGAACGAUGAAGCCGGAGCUUGCUCCGGUGGAUUAGUGGCGAACGGGUGAGUAACACGUGAGCAAUCUGACCUUGACUCUGGGAUAACUGCGGGAAACUGUAGCUAAUACCGGAUACGUCCCCUUGGGGCAUGCAAGGGUGUGGAAAGAAGUUCGGUCACGGGUGAGCAAGCGGCCUAUCAGCUAGUCGGGGAGGUAAUGUCUCACCAAGGCGACGAGAGGUAGCCGGCCUGAGAGGGUGACCGGCCACACUGGAACUGAGACACGAUCAAGACUCCUACGGGAGGCAGCAGUGGGGAAGAUUGCACAAUGGGCGAAAUCCUGAUGCAGCAACGCCGCGUGAGGGAUGAGGGCCUUCGGGUUGUAACCUCUUUUAGCAGGGAAGAAGCGAAAGUGACGGUACCUGCAGAAAAAGCACCGGCUAACUACGUGCCAGCCGCCGCGGUAA
rnacentral:rRNA from 1 species